CGGGCACAGAGCAGGUUAGCAAGUCAUGCCAUAUCUAGGGCUGCGCCAAAGUCUCACAGAACUAAACCUCCAAUUCUUAUAGAUUCUUCCUUGUGAACUCGUGAUCUCAACAAGAGCAGAAGCGAAAUAUUCAGGAAGUACCAGGGUGUGACUGAAAGCCUCAUCAGAAGUGCCAGGAUUCACCUUCAUUCCCGGAGGAGGGUGUGUCUCUGGAAUCAGUCCCUUCCCCAAAGAUGAAAUCAUGCAGGAC
rnacentral:lncRNA from 1 species